UACGUAGGGUGCAAGCGUUGUCCGGAAUUAUUGGGCGUAAAGAGCUUGUAGGCGGUUUGUCGCGUCUGCUGUGAAAUUUCGGGGCUCAACCCCGAACUUGCAGUGGGUACGGGCAGACUAGAGUGCGGUAGGGGAGACUGGAAUUCCUGGUGUAGCGGUGAAAUGCGCAGAUAUCAGGAGGAACACCGGUGGCGAAGGCAGCUCGCUGGGACGGUACUGACGCUGAGGCGCGAAAGCGUGGGGAGCGAACAGG
rnacentral:rRNA from 1 species